UACGUAGGUGGCAAGCGUUGUCCGGAUUUAUUGGGUUUAAAGGGUGCGUAGGCGGCCCUGUAAGUCAGUGCUGAAAUAUCCCAGCUUAACUGGGAGGGUGGCAUUGAUACUGCGGGGCUAGAGUACAGAUGAGGUAGGCGGAAUUGACGGUGUAGCGGUGAAAUGCUUAGAUAUCGUCAAGAACACCUAUAGCGAAGGCAGCUUACUAGGCUGUAACUGACGCUGAGGCCCGAAAGGGUGGGGAUCAAACAGG
rnacentral:rRNA from 1 species